CUUUAGCUGUUGAAAGAUCCCCAAAGGGAGACCCUUACUCAAGUCUCAGGAAAUUGCGGACUCCAGACACAGAGAGACCA
rnacentral:pre_miRNA from 14 species